AUCCAGCUGAUGAGUCCCAAAUAGGACGAUACGCGUAUCCUAAAU
rnacentral:hammerhead_ribozyme from 1 species